CCUACACUUUUCAGAGGCACCUCGUCCUUGCUUGGAGCUGCAGCCGUCAUCCCUUUCCGCUAGGGCUCCGUUCGACUCUCACUUCUAGGUCCAUCACUCGAGCUUCUGUGCCCCCAAAGUUCCGCGUCAAAGUCCGUUAGCUCCUUUCCAGUUGGGCGAGGUUCUCAUGGUCAACAAGCGAAUGGGGAUUCCGCAGCUUAGCCAUCUGGGCUGGAGUUUCUUGUGUUUUAUUUAGGGCUAUGGCCCAUGUAUUUCUUUCCGUAUUUCUA